GAUGAAGAACGCAGCGAAAUGCGAUAAGUAAUGUGAAUUGCAGAAUUCAGUGAAUCAUCGAAUCUUUGAACGCACAUUGCGCCCGCCAGUAUUCUGGCGGGCAUGCCUGUUCGAGCGUCAUUUCAACCCUCAAGCCCUGCUUGGUGUUGGGGAUCGGCGUUGCCUCCUCCGUCGUUCGCGGCGGGGUGAGGUCGCCGCCCCCGAAAUGAAUUGGCGGUCUCGUCGCAGCUUUCCUUUGCGUGUAACAUACCACCUCGCAACCAGGAGCGCGGCGCGGCCACUGCCGUAAAACGCCCAACUUUUUCAAGAGUUGACCUCGAAUCAGGUAGGAAUACCCGCUGAACUUAAGCAUAUCAAUAAGCGGAGGA
rnacentral:misc_RNA from 1 species